AUUGGUUGUGUGGAGAUAUGCAGCUCAGGACCAUGUUGGAAGAUUUAUGGUGGGGGGAAUGCACCCAAGCCAAGGUUAUUAUGCCAAUCACAUAAUAUCCGACAGCCACCAAGAUACACUUGACAAGUCACACCCACACAUCAGAACAAAGAGAGACACCCCUGUAAAAGGCAGUUUCGACCCCCAUGUAUAUAUUGAUGCCAUUGGGGUAACAAGGGGGGUGCCAAAUGAAUUCAAGGCGAGGGAUGAGGUUUCUGCAGGAUUUUAAUCCAUUCUCCCAAUCAUGACUGACAAUAAUAAUCUAAAUUUGAUUAAUUAUAUCUAUAAUAACCAACAAUGAUUUGUAAACUAUACAAGAGAUCCCCUUCAUGGGAUUGCUGAGCAACUUCAGGCAACAUCCCAGAUGACUUUCCAGAAUAGGAUGGCCCAAGACAUGAUCCUAGCGGAAAAAGGAGGAGUAUGUGAAAUACUCCCUGACACCAUGAAAUGUUGCACCUACAUUCCAGACAAUACAGGCCUGAAUGGCAAGGUGACCCUGGCAAAAGAGAAAUUAGAAAGUCUCUCGGAAGAAUUAAAGAGGAACUCUGGGGUCACAGAUCCUGGUUUGGGUGGAUGAGUGGAUGGCAGAAAGUUCUCGCCCAAAUAGGUGUGGCAGUCCUGGUAAUUUUGAUUAUUCUUGCUCUCAUUGUCUGUUGUGUUCUCCCCUGUGUUAAGAAAUGUAUACAGAAAACAGCAGAUCAGGCCACACCAACUUUUAUUCAUCGAGAGAUAGAUGAGGAGGAUUAUGAUAAACCCUAUGCCCCAUUGCAGUCCUUCACCGCCAAGUAUACAUUGUUUUAGGCAUAGUAGGGAUAGCGUCUGUCUUUACAGGCACAGUCUGGAGCGAGGGGGGUGGUGGACAAGCCUCUGCUCGUCUAAUGCGCAGCACCAAAAGAGUUUGAGGCCUGUUGGACAGAUGAGUUGUAGGUUAUUAGGAACAGCUUUUAGGGACAGAAAUAGCUACUAGAGACUGUUGUUAGUAAAUAGUCAUUUUAAG